rnacentral:lncRNA from 1 species
GAGUUUAAAAUGUGACUGAAUAGUUAAAGGCACUAUAGAAAAUUUAAACUACAAAAAUUUAUGAUAGGUCUUCUAUGAUCGUGCAUUUAUCUGACCAUCCCAUGCAUCUGAUAUUUUACUUCUUUUGAAUUUGUAUGGCGUGGUCACUGAGUAAUCAGAAAUCCACCAACUAUUAAUAAGCGUGGCUGUCCAGUGCAUACCAGAAGAACAUAUGCAAACUUUUAUUCACUACAAAUCCACUAUUAGUGUGUAUUUUAUCCAGGCUGCAAGCCACUGGCACAUCAGCUACAUUACUCCAAGUUGGACAGUGGAGAAAGCUGCAUGGAAGGGUUUCACAGGUUUGGGGAACUUUUGGCAUGAAAGAGCCCAGCUCUUUGAGUUUGAGUUUCAUCUACUCUUUUUUUAAGGAUGAGUGGAUAUGUGAAAGUUGCAGUUGGAAAUGAGCAGCUUCUCAUAGGCUUUUAACAAACUCAGGGUUUGUUAAAACAAGGAUGAGGUGGCUCAUCCCUGUGUCUGAAUUCUCAGCAGCUCAGAUCCCUGGCUUGUUUCUUGGGGAUCCCAUCCAUGAGGACUGACAUGGUUUGGCUGUGUCCCCAUUUAAAUCUCAUCUUAUAGUUCCCAUAAUCCCCACAUGUGGUGGGAGGGACCUGGUGGGAGGUAAUUGAAUCAUGGUGACAGUUUCCCCCAUGCUAUUCUCAUGAUAAUGAGUAAGUUCUCACGAGAUCUGAUGGUUUUAUUUAUUUAUUUUUUGAGACGGAGUCUCACUCUGUNNNNNNNNNNNNNNNNNNNNNNNNNNNNNNNNNNNNNNNNNNNGCUCCGCCCCCUGCAUUCAUGCCAUUCUCCUGCCUCAGCCUCCCAAGUAGCUGGGAAUACAAGCACCCGCCACCACGCUCAGCUAAUUUUCUGUAUUUUUUUUAGUAGAGAUGGGGUUUCACUGUGUUAGCCAGGGUUGUCUCGAUCUGACCUCGUGAUCCACCCGCCUUGGCCUCCCAAAGUGCUGGGAUUACAGGCAUGAGCCACCGUGCCUGGCCGGUCUGACGGUUUUAUAAGGGGCUUCCCCCCUCACUUGGCUCACAUUCUUCU